UAAUACGUAGGGUCCGAGCGUUGUCCGGAAUUACUGGGCGUAAAGAGCUCGUAGGUGGUUUGUCGCGUUGUUCGUGAAAACUCACAACUCAAUUGUGGGCGUGCGGGCGAUACGGGCAGACUUGAGUACUGCAGGGGAGACUGGAAUUCCUGGUGUAGCGGUGGAAUGCGCAGAUAUCAGGAGGAACACCGGUGGCGAAGGCGGGUCUCUGGGCAGUAACUGACGCUGAGGAGCGAAAGCGUGGGGAGCGAACAGGAUUAGAUACCCUGGUAGUCCACGCCGUAAACGGUGGGUACUAGGUGUGGGUUUCCUUCCUUGGGAUCCGUGCCGUAGCUAACGCAUUAAGUACCCCGCCUGGGGAGUACGGCCGCAAGGCUAAAACUCAAAGAAAUUGACGGGGGCCCGCACAAGCGGCGGAGCAUGUGGAUUAAUUCGAUGCAACGCGAAGAACCUUACCUGGGUUUGACAUGCACAGGACGUGCCUAGAGAUAGGUAUUCCCUUGUGGCCUGUGUGCAGGUGGUGCAUGGCUGUCGUCAGCUCGUGUCGUGAGAUGUUGGGUUAAGUCCCGCAACGAGCGCAACCCUCGUCCUAUGUUGCCAGCGGGUUAUGCCGGGGACUCGUAGGAGACUGCCGGGGUCAACUCGGAGGAAGGUGGGGAUGACGUCAAGUCAUCAUGCCCCUUAUGUCCAGGGCUUCACACAUGCUACAAUGGCCGGUACAAAGGGCUGCGAUGCCGUAAGGUGGAGCGAAUCCUUUCAAAGCCGGUCUCAGUUCGGAUUGGGGUCUGCAACUCGACCCCAUGAAGUCGGAGUCGCUAGUAAUCGCAGAUCAGCAACGCUGCGGUGAAUACGUUCCCGGGCCUUGUACACACCGCCCGUCACGUCAUGAAAGUCGGUAACACCCGA
rnacentral:rRNA from 1 species